rnacentral:rRNA from 1 species
UACAGAGGGGGCAAGCGUUAUUCGGAAUUAUUGGGCGUAAAGGGCGCGUAGGCGGCUUUGCAAGUGACGGGUGAAAUCCCCCGGCUUAACCUGGGAACUGCGUCUGAUACUGGAUGGCUCGAAUCCGGGAGAGGGAUGUGGAAUUCCAGGUGUAGCGGUGAAAUGCGUAGAUAUCUGGAGGAACACCGGUGGCGAAGGCGGCAUCCUGGACCGGUAUUGACGCUGAGGCGCGAAAGCCAGGGGAGCAAACGGG